rnacentral:lncRNA from 1 species
GCCAUGAGAUACUUCUGAGGUUGCCAUACAUACUAAUUAGUACUAUUUGUAUCUCAACAUUUACAUAUACAUACAUCUCUCUACAGGUUAUAUAGAUAAUUACCCCAUCUCCUUAAACUGAAUGAUAUAGAAAACAGCGUUGUCAAUAACAAUUCAUGGUCUCAAUCACACGAAAAGAUCGUGAGGUUCUGAAACAGAACAGGUGUGUGGACUCUGAAAAGAUUUUGUCAACUUUUUGUGUUGAGAUGACUGCCGUGUCAGCACGUCCGUACGAAUUACAUGCUUGCGAUCGUGAGAGAUGAAGUCUCCACGUGUCGAUUAGGAGUCGACCUCGGGAGAACAAGGAGCUCUCCACAACGCACUAUCUGGUUGGCUGAUCACAAUACGUGUCAGAAGAUCUACAAACAAACAGACCACAGAAACAUACAAAAACAGAGUUUUUUUUUCAUUUAUUUUAUUUCUCUUUUUUUCUCCGUUAUAAAAGGAAGAAGCUACCUUAUGAAAAAUACGAAGAGUCCACCACGAUCAAGUUGUGAGACUUGAGAGUGAUUGAGUCUCUAAGCCUAGCCUCUCUCGUGUUGACACGUGUUUAGACCACCGCUGGUUAAAAUACAAAAACCCAAUCGCCCAUCGGAAACAUGAGUGGCGGCUAUACUUCCUCUCUAUUUCUCUUCUUCUAAGGAUUUCUUUUUCUUUUUCAAAAAGUCUCAAAAACUUUCAAAAGAGUUUUCAUCUCUGUAGAAUAUAAUCUACAUAAGAAGACAUCACUUACAAGAAUGGGUCUUUCGCAGUUUCCGACAGCGUCAGAAGGAGUGCUACCACUUCUUGUAAUGAACACGGUUGUUUCAGUCACUCUCUUGAAGAAC